CGGGGGGGGCAAGCGUUGUUCGGAAUUACUGGGCGUAAAGGGCUCGUAGGCGGCCAACUAAGUCGGAUGUGAAAUCCCCAGGCUCAACUUGGGAACUGCAUCCGAUACUGGAUGGCUUGAAUCCGGGAGAGGGAUGCAGAAUUCCAGGUGUAGCGGUGAAAUGCGUAGAUAUCUGGAGGAAUACCGGUGGCGAAGGCGGCAUCCUGGACCGGCAUUGACGCUGAUGAGCGAAAGCUAGGGGAGCAAACGGGAUUAGAUACCCCGGUAGUCCUAGCCCUAAACGAUGAAUGCUUGGUGUGGCGGGUAUCGAUCCCUGCCGUGCCGAAGCUAACGCAUUAAGCAUUCCGCCUGGGGAGUACGGUCGCAAGGCUG
rnacentral:rRNA from 1 species